CAUGGAGUCAGUGCAAAACUACUAAAUAAAAUAGAAGGGUCAAUGCAGAUAGUUUGUGUGGCCAUUUUGUUAGUCUUAUGACUUAAGUCUGCCCAAUCUUUCUAUUACAAACGGAACCCAUAGACUUACACGGUUGUAGACAAACUAAACAUACCUGAGCACAGGUGCAUAAUUCCAACAUAAAAUAUUAGUUUAUGUUCAUCCGUUUCUGCCUACAUCUCCCAGUGAGCACUGAGCUGAGCAAAGGGCAAGUUAAUAUGACGUUAUUUUUGCGUUGGCACUAUAAAGCCCCUCCCCUUUCUUCGUCACAUCCUCUUUCAAGUUGGUGUCGCUUUAGUGACACAUCUCCACAAGAUGAGAGCAAAGUGGAGGAAGAAGCGUAUGCGCAGGCUGAAGCGUAAAAGGCGAAAGAUGAGGCAGAGAUCUAAGUAGACUGGCCCAUCCAUACCCUACAGCUGUGAUCUCCAAGCCCUCUCUGGUGACUGAAGUCUGCAGUCCAUGAUGUGCCAAGAGCUGAACGUGGUCGUCUGAAGCAAAUGUUGCAAUGGUGUAAAGGACAGAUCCCGGCUACCAAGUCUUCUACCCAUCAAAUGGCUGCUGGCUGACGACCACUGGAGAAUGGCGAGGAAGACUUGAGAAUUGAAUCUUCGGUCGUUUUUAAUUCUGGCCUUAUACCAUCUGCCCUGCACAGCUGAUUUGUUGUAAAGACCAUAAUAAAUCUUUGGUUUACUAACCACAGUGCUCCCUGUUAAUUGAUUUAUUGGUCAUGUCUUUCAAGCCACAUGCACCACGUGUGUUAGACCUACAGUAAAAUUCUUAUGUUAUGAGAACACGAGGAAACUCUUGAAACCCUGUUGCAGCUGCCCUAGGUUGACAAGCUAUCUACAGCUGUGGAGUAUGAAAUGGCUUGAGGUUUUGGGUAAGGGUAGCCCUUGGGAUUAUUUUUUUUUUUUUGGGGGGGGGGGGUAUAAUACGAUCGUGCUUUGUGUAAAACAAUGGCGCCUGUUCAGUUGCACAAAUGUCAUUUAAUAGUACUUUGAAAAAUAAAAUUGCUUAGGGUUUAGAUCAAAUGAACAGUCGGUUUCGGAGCUCUUAUCUAGUGGACUCC
rnacentral:lncRNA from 8 species